CUUGUUGGUAGGGUAGUGGCCUACCAAAGUGGUAACGGGUAACGGGGAAUCAGGGUUUGAUUCCGGAGAGGGAGCCUUAGAAACGGCUACCACGUCCAAGGAAGGCAGCAGGCGCGCAAAUUACCCACUCUAGAUACUGGGAGGUAGUGACGAGAAAUAAUGGGGGCACCCCAAAGGGGCACCGUCUGUAAUGAACGAAACACAAAAGCGUCGGUGAGGACCUACUGGAGGGCAAGUCUGGUGCCAGCAGCCGCGGUAAUUCCAGCUCCAGUAGUGUAUAUCAACAUUGUUGCGCUUAAAACGCUCGUAGUUGGGUUGCAGAUCGUAGAGUUGUCGCUGUAUAUGCGACAGCUUCAGUUUGCCUCUGUAGUCUCUCCCCCAAAGGAGCGCUAUGGAGGCAACUACGUGAUUGUCUAUCGGGUGCAGAGGCGGCUUUAACUAGUCGCCCCUGCCACUCCCGGUAAAGUGUGCCUUGAGUAAAGCAUAAUGCUAAAAGUAAGCUAGUGUAGCUAGAGUGUAAUAGCAUGGAACGAAUAGAGACCCUAGGGUGGGGCGACACCUGCAAAGGAGGAACCCAACCCGCCUCGCUCAUGACGCGAGGGGUCUAAAUGACCAAGAGGAAAGUUUGCGGGCACUCGUACUUUGGGGCGAGAGGUGAAAUUCUUAGACCCCCAAAAGACGGACUACUGCGAAGGCAUUUGCCAAAGAUGUUUCCGUUAAUCAAGAACGAAGGUCAGAGGAUCGAAGACGAUCAGAUACCGUCCUAGUUUUGACAGAAAACUCUGCCGGCGUAGGUGGGCGGCGAUCACUCCACGGGAGACGAAUCACCGCGGACCUUAGGGGAAACCUGAGCUUUCGGGCUGCUGGGAGAAUAUUGCUGCAAGGCUGAAAUUUAAAGAAAUUGACGGAGAGGCACCACCAGGAGUGGAGCUUGCGGCUUAAUUUGACUCAACACGGGGAAACUCACCGGGUCCAGACAUUGGAAGGAUUGACAGAGUGGUGGAUCUUUCAUGAUUCAGUGAAUGGUGGUGCAUGGCCGUUCUUAGUUGGUGGAGUGAUCUGUCAGGUUUAUUCCGGUAACGAGCGAGACCGCGGUCUUUACUUGCAGUGUUCCUGUGCUCCUGACUCUCUCUCUCGUGGAGACUGUGAGGAGGCUACUUGGACAGGUAAAUAAAGAGACAAUCGGCGCAAAGCCGGCGGAAGCGCGGCAAUAACAGGUCUGUGAUGCCCUGCGAUGUCCUGGGCUGCACGCGUGCUACAAUGGCAGUAAAAGACGGCUGCUGGCCCGAGAGGGUUGGCGAAGCGCGAAUACCUGCCGCGAUGGGGACUGAGCCUUGCAAUUAUUGCUCACGAAAGAGGAAUUCCUCGUAGGCACAGGUCAUGAGCCUGUGUCGAAUACGUCUCUGCCUCUUGUAC
rnacentral:rRNA from 1 species